AUGUAAUAACAUCAGCUCUAGUCUUAUAAUUUGGGAUUCAUCCCUUCUUGAAUUAUUUUCCGAUGAUCAAGAAGACUUUAGGACUUUAUUUUAGCAAAGUUAUGAUUACAGAUAACGAAUUAUAUAUUGGGUAAAGAGAAGAGAUGUAACAUGGUCUGUCUUGCACAAAUCUACUUCAAACUGAUUUGAAAGGUGUUUUUUACUUACAGAUCCUCCUGUAAUGCAGUUUUCAGGUUAUGUGGUCUUUUUUAGUUCUGUAAGACAUGCUUGUAAGGGGUGGGAGAUCUGGCUAAGAAAUAAUAUCACAUUUCACCAAUUGCAAGUCUGUAUUUGACGACCUGGGAUGGAGAUUCAACAAUCAGCAAUCUUUCUUGGCUCUGAUUGAUUGUUUUUAUUCAAGCCUGGUGGAUUCUUGCAAAUGCAAUUGGGAGCACUGGGAGUAGACAGAGGAACCUGAUUUUUUUAAGGUUAAUUUGAAAAAAGUUACCUACUGCAGCUUUAAAGAUACUUUCAGAAUUGUGAUUCAAACCAGUUUAAUUUGUCAUAGUAAACAGAAGCCAAAAGAUAACAUCAUCAUAAAAUAACACGGACAUGAACUUACUCACUGUGGAUACUUCACAAUCAGAUGGUCCACCCUUACAUGCUUGUAUGUCAUAUUUUCUUUGCUCCUUUUUGGUUUAUUAUCAUCACGGUUAGGAUAUUGUUUUCAGUAACUGACUGAGCACAAAUUUGGUCUGCCUGACACGUUUCACCUGGGAAACAGACUUUAAGUUAAUGCAUGCCUCUACUCUCUGAAAUGUUACAUGCAGAUGGCCCCCAUUUAGCUGUACCUCUGGCAAAUAUAGGCUACUAUAAAUAUAGAUGGAAAGAGAUGAAGAGAUGGAGAGGGAUGGGGUGGGGGGUUUCCAUAGCAACAGAGAUGGGGGAGGCUUUGAAUCCAGACCAACUUGAAUAAUUAGGAUACAGGGAGAUGACCGCUUUAAAUGGAAUAGUUUGUAGGGAUGGAUAUUUGACAGACACCAGCCCACAGGGAACUCCCACACUAGUCACUAAAGUGACCGUGAUUGACGUAUCGGGGAACCAAUGGAAGAGGUGGAGUCCCUGCGUUUGGUCAAUCACAGCCCUGACAAUCAUCGAGUGACGCAGAGGAAGGGGGCGGGGAAAGUUCUACUGAGAAGCAAAGAAAGAGAAGAAUGAGAGAACGGCGCGAGCUGCUCGAGCUUGAGGUCGGGGAUGUCUGAACGGGCACCAGGGUUUCCCAAAGGUUUAUAUUCGCCUCCGCGUGAAACGUUACCAUGGAUCUGUGGCAGAUUCCCCGUCUCUGGACAGACUCUUUCCGCCUGGAAUGUGUGUACCAUAAAAUUCCACAAAGCCACACCUUGGUCCGGAAUACUCAGCUUCCCGACAUUCUCAGUGCGGGUCCGACCACGCGCUCACGUGGUUGGAAUGUAGAAAAAUAAAUAAAUAAUUACAGUGAAAAUAAAAUCAUUCUUUGACGCUUU